rfam:Cavia porcellus supercont2_13 genomic scaffold, whole genome shotgun sequence.
GGGGAUUUAGCUCAGUGGCAUAAGCACCUGCCUUGCAAGCAGGCAGUCCUGAGUUCGAUCCCCAGUACCA